rnacentral:rRNA from 1 species
CCUACGGGAGGCAGCAGUAGGGAAUAUUGCGCAAUGGGCGAAAGCCUGACCCAGCAACGCCGCGUGAACGAGACGCCCUUCGGGGUUUUAAGCUCUGUCAGUGGGGACGAAAAAUGACGGUACCCACAGAGGAAGCACCGGCUAUCUCCGUGCCAGCAGCAGCGGUAAUACGGAGGGUGCAAGCGUGUUCCGGAAUCAUUGGGCGUAAAGAGUUCGUAGGAGGAAUGUAACGUCAGAUGGUAAAGGAGCAGGCUCAACCUGUGUAUGGCACUUGAUACUUGCAAGCUGGAAUGCGGUAGAGGUAAAGGGAAUUCCUGGUGUAGCGGUGAAAUGCGUAGAUAUCAGGAGGAACAUCGGUGGCGUAAGCGCUUUACUGGGCCGUAAUUGACGCUGAGGAACGAAAGCCAGGGUAGCAAAUAGGAUUAGAUACCCCAGUAGUC